AAACGCAGUUCAUUCUUUAAUAUUCAGUCAAGUAUUUCGGUGCAGCCAUAACCCAGAGUCCCACGUUGAGCGCUAUAAUCUUGCACCUCUCUGGAUGUGUGGAGCCCUUGUUAAUGUUAAACAGAGAUUAGCCCUUUCAUUUGCUGUACAGCUCAGUUCUCGCCCCCUCAUCUCCUCUGCCCCCUUCAAGUAUUCAAAAUUAAUACUACCCUCAGCUCCGAGGCCACUGUCUGAUAUUAACAAAGUAAUAAAGAGAAUGAAUUUUUAAAGCAUGUAUUCUUAGAGGGUUAAUAUUAGACUGUUAUCAGUGAGAGGUCAGGUGAUGUGGGGAAUUUUGCUGUCAGUUGUAGGAGCAAUUUUGAUAGCUUAGUCGUUAUUCGUUUAUUUUAUGUGCCUUAAUAUAUGACAUAUAGUUGAGAAGACUUUUUUACAAUGAGUUUUUUGUGGUUGGUAGUUAUUUUUUUACCACCAAUUUGUUAAAUGGAUAAGCUGACAAUUAGGGAUGCAUACAAGGGUUUUUAGGCCAAAAUAUCCAGAACACAAACUUUAUUACCCCUUUCUAGAUAGAAAGAUGUGGUGCCAUCUUCCCUUCUACCUCUCCAACAUCUCAGUUCCUUACACUUCUUCCUUUCUGUUGUCCUCUCUCUCCAUUAAUCUUUCUGAAAGGCCUGAUAUCAUCCAUCUCCCCAGUCGGCUAUUCCCGAGGGGUAAAUUACUCCAGAGGCCUGCGUGGCCCCGCUCUGUAUCAGGUUGACCCACGUCUUGUUUGCCAUUUUGUGUACGCCGCUGUUUAUUUAACAAGGAGCAGAGUGAGAGGGCCUUCCAGAGACGGUCCUUUGAUAGUAACUUUGACACCCGAGCUGAAUAAUAACCCUCAUUAUGGAGUGGCUGACAGCUCCUGAAAGAGCUGAUUUAUGAAUAUGCUGGGGGCUGAAGCCUGCUGCCUUUCCCUGCUUGCUCUCCACGGCUCCACCGGCAUCUCAGGCUGCCACCGUCCCUGUGCUUCCACCUUCCUCUCCUCUCCUUUUCCCCUUUCUGUGCUAGUGAUUACAGGCAUGUUACGUCAGGAGACUGUGGGCCGAUCUGAGAGCCUGAGAUCUGAAAUCAAUGGUAGUUGUCCAUUGAGACCAAGAAAUAAACACAUUUCCUCUAUUGGUGUUUAGAUGAAAAAGAAAACGAUAUAGGAUGGAUGGAUUGAUGGGUGUAUAUAUGGAUAUAUGGAUACAUGAAUAGAAGUAAAUGAGUAGGUAGAUAUGGAUUGAUGGAUAGAGGAAUAGAAGCAGAUGAGUGUGUAGACAGUGUAAUUGAUUAGAUAUUGAUGGAUAAAUUGAAUUAAAUGGGUAGGUAGAUACUGUAGAUAUGGAUAGUUGGAUAGAUGGUAGAUAGAUGGGUGAAGAGAUAUAUAGAUGAAUAGAAGUAGAUGGGUUGGUAGACAGACAGAUAAGUAGAAAUGGAUAGUCGAUGGGUGAAGAGAUGGAUAGGUAGAUGAAUAGAAGUAGAUGGGUAGGUAGACAGCGUAUGGAUGGCUGGAUAGGUAGGUGGAUGGAUAGAAGUAGAUAGGUUGGCAGAGAGAUAAACUUUGUAUUCUUUUGGCAAAAUGUAAUUUGAUCCAUCUCGUAAACAAUUUUCCUUUUCAGAUGACAUCAUCUAGAUCUCUCUUUUUUCAACCCUUCCCUCCAACCAUCGGUCAUGUUCACAGAAUCAAUUAAGCAGGGAAGGGAAGGGAUCUCUGGGAAGACUGCGGGUUUGGAGAGGCCUUGAGCCCGAGCUUUGGACACCGUGGAGGUGGGAUAUCCAGUAGAUAUGAAUAAACGGGUUGAGGAGGAUGAAAGCUGUUCGGCAGAUAAAGCCAUAGCAGCCUGUCGGAAUCCUGCCACGCUGGCCCUGAUUUAUGACCAUCUCAGUCGGACUCCCUACCAAAUCCACCCGCUGCCUUUCUUGUUCAGUGGAGAUGCCUAUGCUUGAGCUGAUAGGAUGUGGUCUGGUUCGUCACACUGAACCUGAGGACACAGCUGAUGCCUCCGAGUAGCACUCUGAUGUUCCCAGUUCCUCCUCUCUCACACAGCAUUAAAAAAUCUGGAUAAAAGUUAAUAAUUGAAAACAGAGAAGGGAAGGAAAGGGGGAAAAAGACACCAAGAUUCUGACACACUCUGCAUAAACAUCUGCUUAUUAGUGACCCUAGAUGCCACACACAGUCACAGCGGCUCUGAAGCACCCCGCUGAGAGCUCAGAUGUCAGAGGUCGGCCUUCACCAUCAUAACCUCUACAGACGUGUCUUCCGGUCUUUCACAGCUCUGACCUCAGUGUACUGGACCCCGCAGAUGCAUGUGACCUUCCCAUGAAGUGCAUUUGGAGAAGUCACACCGUGCUGCCACCAGUUCGGUUCUUGGAAAGCACGCCUCAAAAUUCAAUCACACACGAGCACCAUCCAGGCACCCAACUCCACCCCCUUGUUGACUUGAUUAAGUAGUCACAUUGAUCCAUCUGGAUCUGGUUCGGCUCCUGGCAGUAACCUCCAUACCUCAUUCCAACAUGCCAGUAGUUUUCACCUUUCAGUGUCAGUGCAGAGUCGGUAGCCCUGGGUAAGCUCACUAUUCCGGCUCUCCAGAACAUUCUAAUUACCAGUCCACCCUCAUUAUGUUUGCCAUGUCAUUGUGUGCGGACGA